GUUCACUUGUGGUGCAGCGCAGGUAAAGGCAGCAGUCGGGCGCCCAGCCAGCUGACCCGAUAAGUCCCACACUUUCCAGCCGAGGAGGGAAAGUAUUUUUAAGUCGGUUAGAUGCUUCGAAUGUGUUUGGAAAUUCCGGGGGUGAGAUCAUUUGUGAGGGCCGAAAGGCGAGGGGGGCCGGGGCGGCGGCGGCGGGGGGGGGGGAAAGAGUACAUAAAGUAAAUCAGAAAGCGAAAGUAAAAUUCACAGACAGAGGAUGAGUGCGCCACACACUCUGAGCAGAGCAGCGCCGGCAUCGGAUCAGCACGUGUGAGUCUGGAUGGUCACAGUGGCAGCAUGACAUCAUGGAAACGCAAAGCCCGACUCUUUCUCCUAGUGCUCCUGAGCACGAUCGACCUGUCAUAUGGGGGAUGUGCGGAAUACCUCAAAGUGGACGCAUGGGGAGGAAACCUGACACAGUUCUUCACCCUCGUUGAAACAGAUGAUCCCAAGGACAUAGCGGAGUGUACUUUGGAGAAAGAAGCUGUAGAAAACAAUACGAAUGCAUGGUUCAUACUUCGAGACUGCUUCAAGAAAGAAAUAAGGAAGGUCAUACCCAGUGAAAAGUGUAAAAGGAACACUUCUGGGACUAUCCCUUUCUAUAAUUUCAUGUGCUUGACGAUUGCAACUAUCAACCGCAAAUAUCAAGGUGCCAACAUCGAAGAUAAACACUGCGAGUAUGAUAUUACAUGCAAGCUCCUUUCAGGAGGACCAUCUACAGCGACACCAACAACACUGCCAGAAAGAACAGAGGUGACACCCACAUGGACAACAACAGAACUACCACCAACAACAACAAACUUCACACAGAUCACUGCAACACCAACAACACUGCCAGAAAGAACAGAGGUGACACCCACAUGGACAACAACAGAACUACCACCAACAACAAACUUCACACAGAUCACUGGGUUAAAUAGAUCAACAACAUUGCCGCUAACAACAACACAGCCAAAAAGAACAACAUCAGCAACUAGACUGGUGACACCCACAAUGACACCAACACCAGAAGUGACACCAUCAACCCCAUCCACAGACUUGGUCAAGGUAGAAAAUCCUCUCGCCAAUGUAAAAGAAAAUCCUCUCACCAAUGAAAAAGAAAACUUAGCCCUGAAGAUAUUUUCAGUGAUAUCCGCAGCCCUCAAUAUGGCCGCGCUCAUGGUGUUUCUUUAUCAACGCAAGAGAAACACGGGGUUCAGUCACGAGCCAGUUGCAACCUAUAUGUCGGAUGGAGCCUCAUUAGAAGCUCAACGAAUGACAGAGUUGUGCACAGUGAGGGCAACUGUAAACGGGCAUGUAGUGGAGACCACACAUUUAAUAAAGACACCUGAGUCGGAUUCCAUCUCCACACAUUCACCGCCCAUACCGAAUGGCUGUCAUGUUGGAAAUGAAGAGUAGGAGUUUCUGGCAGAACUUAACCUACCUACGAGGUGCAUGAAAGAGAAGGUGAAAUCGUGCAUUUAGGACUCAUAACGCUGCCUCUGUAUAUUCUUGAUACAACAAAGCUAUUGAAUGUGUCAAAGCUUCAGGGUGCCAGGAGGAUGAGCUCUACACUGGCUGGCAACAGGACAGGGGACCUGCAUGACUGUGGUUUGCAGUAACUUGGGGCCAUCAUUAAGGAGGAUAAACUAACAAGUGAAGCUUCACUUCAGAUGUGAAGAGGAGUGAGAGAGAUCAAGCUGCAGCAUGCCACUUCACUCGGCGCUUCAUUCUUAUCUCAUCAGGAUGAAGUAUUGCAUUACCCCAGCGCAGCAUAAAAGAGAAGUUAAGUGCAACGUCAGCCCGAUGAAUAUAGGGUUGUGCUACUUUUUAUUUGUUUCAAUCACACGCUUGUUUUCACCAGCCCAACAGAGUUACUCGGACAGAAAUGUUGGUUCAGAGAUUAUUAGGAGGGUUUCUUUCUUUUCUCUAUUCGUUUAUGUAUAAUGCACGAAAGCAAUUAUGGUGUAAUAUAAUUGUUUGAUAUAUAGAGGCAGCAUUACCAGUUAGGACGCCUGCCUGUUGUUGGGAUCCACAGAACAUUCACACUUCUCAACAUGGAGGGAGUCUGUAAAUUUGCAUGCAGUUAUCGUGUUACAUUUCUUAUACGGCAUGAUAUACGAGCUAUGAAUAACAAGACACAUUACAGUCUGAAUGUCCACAUUGAUAAUGUCUGUGCACUCACUCACUUCUGGGAUUCAAACGUCCACAUACACAAUCAAAUGUGUGCAUGUCUUCUUUAGCUUUAUAAAUCACCGCUAUUGCCAUACGCAAACGUUUGAGUGGUGGUGAAAACAAUGCUGACUGUAUGACUCGGGGUUUCCUGUCUGUAGUAGACAGAGCAGCUGUUUCUCAAGUAAUCCAGGCACUAGACCCCGUAAAGAGCACUUGUGUUCAUUGGUAGCUCAGUUUUUGGUAUUUUUUUUAUUGCAUGCUCUGAGUUUGAUGAAGAUACAGUUGACAUGCUAGUCAUGCACCUAGCAAGACAGAUGCAUAGAUGAGAUGCAGCUAUGGCUGAGUUUUGGAGACAUAAUAAUAUAUUUUUGAAUGUAUUAGCCUUAGGGAGUGAGCGAGAGUGCUAUGUUAAGCUACUGUCCAGUAUUAAAAUGUAAAAAGGCACAAAUCAGCUUAACAUCAAAACCAGUUUUUCAGUAGCUAAGAAACAUAACGACAAUUUAUGUGAAAAGGUAUUUAAAAACUUUGUAAUUCUGGAAAGGUUCUCAUUAAUACAGGCAUCAAACAAGGAGGUUCUAUGUUAUAUUGUUAACAGAGGAUCAACCAUAAUGUACUUAUACUUUGUGGACAUGUUUUAGAUUGCUCUCAAAUAUACCCAAUCUAACACACACCUAAACCUGUUUCCGCCAUCCAAAGAUAUUAUAUAAUACCAUAAUAAUAACAUUUACAAAAGGGCCAGUUUGUUGAUAAUUAAUGAAAAUACAGGCUGUUCUGUUUUCAUUACCUUUGAAGGAGCCUCUUACAUCUCCAGCGGGAGCAGAUCCUCCUGGUGCAACAUGUUUUACACAGCAACAGAGUUUUGUACAGUAGCCCACAACUGACAAGCCAAACCCUGGCUCCAGAGUUUUUUUCAAAACACUUUGUGAGAUGAGAUGUAUUCAUUUGAUCAUGAUCUAUAACCUCACCCCUAGAUGCCUCUAAAUCCUGGACGUGUCCUUUAGUAAUCCUAAAAUAACCGCAUUACAUUUUGUGUUACACCCCAUUUGAUUCUCAUUAUUUUUGGAAUAAUGUGGGAUCACAGUCUUGCCCGGCUUGCCUUGGGCUCUUUAUGGUGUUUAAGUGCAUUUUAUCCAGGUUUAAGCAUAAACGAUAAAAGUGUGAUGCUCUGCUUUUAUAUUUUUUUAAUCACUUGGUUUAUUUAUGGUGUUUUUAACAGAAAGGAUUGCCACAGUGUGUCUCGCUCUCUGUGUAUACAAGGAUUUUUUUUAUACACAUAGCUAGGAUUGAUGUACUUGUGCAUACUGUUUAGUUGUGGAUAAAAUGAAGUGUGAGAGGCAGAGCUGCCCUGGUGGCAGCACUGUUCUCAUUGGCUGAAAUUAAGCUCAAUGGGUGGAUCCUGUACGGAAGAAUGAAGGUUGUAAAUUACCAAAAGAAUCACUAAAUUUCAAAAGUCACUUCAUUCAAAAUUGGCGAGUUACCUAGCUUCCACUCUCUGCACUGAUCCACGAAGGUUUAACUGUGUGAACUGUUAACGUUUGUUGUAAUUGUUCCAUGUGACCAAUUCUGCAUAUCAAGAGUUACUGCAUAUAUCCACAUGAAAGACGAAAUGUUUUCCUACUCAUAGAUUCAGAGUCAACUUUGGGAGGAAAGAUCUGUGCAUAUUUUUUCAUUUGGCAUUAUUAUUAUUAUACACCGAUCAGGCGGGACAUUAUGACCACCUGUGUUGGUCCCGCUUUUGCUGCCAAAACAGCCCUGACCUGUUGGGGCAUGGACUCCACUAGACUCCUGAAGGUGUGCUGUGUUAUCUGGCUCCAAGAUGUUAGCAGCAGAUCCUUUAAGUCCUGUAAGUUUCGAGGUGGGACCUCCGUGGAUCGGACUUGUUUGUCCAGCACAUCCAACAGAUGCUUGCUUGGGAAUUUGGAGACCAAGUCAACACCUCAAAUUCACUGUUGGGCUCCUCAAACCAUUCCUGAACAAUUAUUGCUUUGUGGCACUUCACAUUAUCCUGCUAAAAAAGAGGCCACAGCCAUCAGGGAAUACCGUUUCCAUUAAAGGGUGUACAUGGUCUGCAACAAUGCUUAGGUAGGUGGUACGUGUCAAGGUAACAUCCACAUGGAUGGCAGGACCCAAGGUUUCCCAGCAGAACAUUGCCCAAAACAUCACACUGCCUCCGCUGGCUUGCUUUCUUCCCAUAGUGCAUCCUGGUGCCAUGUGUCCCACAGCUAAGCGACACAGAUGCACCCGGCCAUCCAAGUGGUGUGAAAAUCAAAAAAAACAUGAUUCAUCAGACCAGGCGUCCGUCUUACAUUGCUCCAUACUGACCACUGCAGACCGGGAACACCCCAAAAGAGCUGCAGUUUUGGAGAUGCUCUGACCCAGUCGUCUAGCCAUCACAAUUUGGCCCUUGUCUUAUUGCUCAAAUCCCUACGCUUGCCCAUUUUUCCUGCGUCCAACACUUCAACUUUGAAGGAAACAUGUUCACUUGCUGGCUUAUAUAUCCCACCUUCUAACAGGUGCCAUGAUGCAGAUAAUCAGUGUUAUUCACUUCACCUGUCAGUGGUCAUAAUGUUAUACCUGAUCGGUGUAUUUCAGAGAUAAAAAUGGAUUCCCCAUCAUCAUGUUUUGAACAGUACACUAAACAUCUAAGCUGUGCUUGGGCACUGUUUGCAUUAUUUAAUGCAUGCUGCAUUUUUUUUUUUUUAAAUGUAUGUAUAUUGUAAUGUGAAGAAAUAUUCUGAUGUUAAACAUUAUGUGUAAAGUGUAAUGUGAUUGCAAACUUCCUCAGAUUAUUCUGACAUAAUAUGAAUAUAAAUCUGUGAAUAAAGCCUCAUAUGUUCAGAUUUUUUGCUGGUUUUGUUUGUUAGUGAACUCAUUUUCUAAAAUGUGAAACAACUUAAAACAACUCAAAUCAUCC
ensembl:lncRNA